rnacentral:misc_RNA from 1 species
UCCGGUUUGACACCGGCAGUCUCGCUAGAGUACUGGCUUGCGCCGAGCAACUAACGAUAGGGGUUGCGCUCGUUAAAGGACUUAACCUGACACUUCACAGCACGAGCUGACGACAGCCAUGCAGCACCUGUGACCGUUCCACCCUUGCGGGUGUGGCCCUACUUUCAUAGGGUUAAUCCGGCCAUGUCAAGCCUAGGUAAGGUUCUUCGCGUUGCCUCGAAUUAAGCAACAUGCUCCACCGCUUGUGUGAGCCCCCGUCAAUUCAUUUGAGUUUUAGCCUUGCGACCGUACUCCCCAGGCGGCGCACUUAUCGUUUUUACUACGACUGAUACGGCGUCAAAACCGCACCAGUCUAGUGCGCAUCGUUUACAGCGUGGACUAC